rnacentral:lncRNA from 1 species
AUUGGCGCGCGCGGCAGGUGCUGGAGUGGCCGAGCAGGUCGACGACGUACAGGCGUGCAUGUGCGGAUGCGGGGACGCGGUAGCCGUAUCGAGUACGCAGCCAAGGUGUUCGACGAAAUGCGAGCCGCGGGAGAAGUGAAGCUGAGCCUGCGAAGUGGGAGCGGGUCAAGGAUGCGCGCGGCUCGGACAUGUGCAGAUGUGACGCGGCGAGGCCGAAGUGAGCGCGUGUCCAGCAGCAGGAAGAGGAGGAGCAGUUGCGCGGCAUGCGGGGCGACAGCGUGCAGCGCAUGGCGGAGUUCCAAGUUGGUGUGCAGGAGUGUCACGCGUGAUGGACAUUAGAGGCCGUCGAGGAAAACGCAGCGGAAGGCACGGCCCUAAUGCAGGUAGACCACAGUCCUCGCGAAGGCGGAAGUGAGAGUAUGGCGUGGCGAAUCAGAAAAAGAAGCCACGGAGCGAAGGCAGUGGUCGGGCGUGACGAGCUCGGAGGAGAUGCGGUGUAGCCAGGCACGACGGGCUCCCUUCAUCUAUAUGGAAGUCGAGGCGGGAGCAACGCGAUACGGGUUUGACGUGCAACGCAAGACCGGCGGCGGUGAUAGGUCAAACCAGAUGGCGUCACAACAGGUGGAGAGGGCGGCGAAGUUACAGGACCCAGAGGUCCGAGCGGAACUGAACCGGCGCGUUCGCGAGUGCGAGCGGAAGCGUUCUACCGGUGGCCGGCUCAGCUCGUGAGUAGGAAAAUCCUGGGGUUCGCGGAGAAGUCGGUAUAGCGAACCCAUUCGGCUCCAUUGUCUCGUCCCAGAAUCCACGACCUCCAACAGUUGCAUCCCUCGUGGCUCACUCAACCGCUAUCACCACGAGUCACCUCGGAGAUUACCCCUUCGACCAUCUUCCACCCACGGCAACCCUUCCCGGCAAACUUCUUCGUCGACCACGGAAUCUCAUCAUCGU